GCGACUGGCGGGGGCCCCCCUCGGUGCUCCAGUUGGCCUCGCUGGGGGUCAAGAGUUCAGCUUUGUCGGUCGAACUGUUCUGGGCUUUUGAGACGGAUUGGUCGACGGGGAUCUCGGCCAAACCUGGAUUUUGAAACAUUUCAGCAGUUUUGAGAAUGUGUGGUAGUUGCUCUUGUGAGACGUUGACUUCUCCAUAGUACAUGAAGUCGACCAUAACUUUCAAGUCAGUGAAUUUAACAUCUUUUAAUAUCACAAUGGGAUGUUGGCAAGGAUUGAUAGUGAACAAAGACUGGAAAUAGAAAAUGAGGAGUGGUUUUACGAGUGAGGCGACUUACUUGAAAAUAUGAACUGCAAGCGGACAAGACCACUUUAUGCGCUUGCAAGUGCCUGCCUUCGGCGGCUAAAGUAACGUCGACCAGUGACUCACUGUUCAGAAGACUAGAAAAGACCGAAAUGAAGUUUGGUUGAUGGUUGUUCCAUCGCAAACAAUACUGUUGCAUUGUCAUUGCAGCGAGAUGUGUGCACCUACGAGAAAACGCAAGGAAAUCAAAUCAAGUUUUGUUUAUAUUUUUAAUUAUCAACUACAUACAAUCAAUAAAUUGACCUGUGAAUUGUAACCUUGAGAGUCCACCAAUGCGAGAUGACAUCAACGUAUUACAAAGAUGACUGCAACAGUUUAAAUAGAAAAGGUCAAAAUAAAACCCAACUUCGCUGACGUCACUUGCCGUACUUACUCUCCAAUUUGUUCAACAUUAUACGGAAAAUAAACACACGAAUUUUUUAAAUCAACACCACACAUAAAAAACAUAAUCCACCAUAUUUAGAUUUUCCUCACUGACGUAAUUCUGGCAACUGACAACGCAGAAACCUGUAAUCGGCGCGCGUGACGCAACCGUUUCAACCACCAAAAAACAACCACAACCACCUCAAACCACACCAAGUUAUGCAACAGUAAACAUAAAACUUGAUUUACUUGCAACAAACUUGUUUAAUUUGGAAAAAACUACAAUAAGUUGUUGGAGUUUGACGUCGCGCCACGAGAUGUCCCCACAUGCUACGUUUCGCGGUUGUGAACACGAACACGCACAAAAAGUGAAUAAUUAAAAAUUGUUUCCCCAGUUGGUCCAGCAAAUGGAAGAAAAAAAUGUUGAGUGAUGUGAUUAAGUUCAGGGCUAGAGGUACUUGGGAAGAAAAUGGUCAAUACCUUCAGAAUCUGAAAUCGUAGUCCUUGUGCAGCUUUUUACAUCUGUAGUAUGGGACAAGGAAUAAUGGAAAAAAUCGAAAAAUCUGGAGUGUUUCAAUUCAAAGGGAAGAGAAUUAGGUAACAACUGGUCAAUCUACUAAGACGAGAAAGAAAACGAAGCGAUAGAAAAAGCAGCAAGGAAGAAGAUUCAGAACUUCAAGGCUUGUAGUAUUAAAUUUGAAGAGAUUUUUUGAAGCUUAAGGGAAAAAUGGUAUUCCGAGACUUCGAAGACAAGAAAAUCAGUCACUUUUUAAUGAGCCAUGACCAGGUUAUCAGCCAAAAUCAACGAGCAACGAGCUACAGCUACUGCAAUCAAGGCAGAAGUUCAUCAAGAAAGAGGUUUAACCAUGUGUUAGUGAUUGAAUAUGAAUAUUUGCUUUAAUAAGAUAUUUUUACAUUCUUUUCUGUUGUAAGUACUUGUGGUUCGAAUGUGCUUCUAUUAAAAAUUAUUUUUAAAAUAAACCAAGAUUGAAAUUA